rnacentral:lncRNA from 1 species
AGGAAGUACAUCUGCUUCCCACCUGCUUCACGCAAGCAGGGCAGAGAAGGCAGUGUUCCCUUCAGCUUCUUAAUCAUGAUCAACAGCCUCUCUCUGACGCAGCUCUGAAGUGUCCAGCUCCUAUUCAUGGACGCCUGGCAAUGUAGACUUUCAAACGCUGAAGCAUUUGAAACAUUCAUCCUUUUUAUCCUUAAAACCGGAUCACGAUUCCAAGGCUCCAGCCACACCUGCUGUUGAUCCUGUGUUCACGUGGUGAUGACUCUCGCCUGGAGUUCCUGGCAUUUCCUUUGACACAUCAAAGUGAAACUCCUAGAAGACAAAAACAAUGUAUCUGUUGUUAGAUGAAGAGCACCUCCAUUUUCAAGUGAAGACCCUUACUAAGCUCUUUGAAGACCAUGGCUUUCUACAAAGGAGCAGCACAGCUACCGUUGGUCACAGCAAGUGGCUCUUCACACUCUUCAGUCUGAACAAGAACCAGUUAUGAGAAGCUAGGGUUUUACUUACUUUUGGUGUGGUUAGCAUUGGUGGGAAGGCAACUUACUGGUCUCUCCAUUUAUUAACAUCAUUGAUCUUUGGGGUUUUCUAUUGUUGGUCUGGCUAGCUUGGUUAAGGCUAACAUCCUUUUGCCACGGAGAGUCUUGCAAAGUUCCUCCUCAUCUGGCCUGUGGCUGAGCGAGGGGCUCUUCUGAGCCUCUUUGAAACCUAUUUGGAACAUUCCUAAACAGCAAAACUUAGACUGUUAAGUGAUUUUUUUUUAGGGUACUUAAUUAUGGAGACCUCUGUCCUAAUGCUUGAAUUUGCAUCUUUGUCCUCGAUUUUUUUUCUUUAGGGGAACUCUAAUAUCUAUUCCAGAAUAGAUAUUCAACUUGGAUUGAUUAUAAUUGGGGAGGGAUUGGAUUUUAUCUGGAACAUGAAAUAAACAAUUCCUAACACUUCUUUAUCAAAAACUACACAAAAGAGUGUUCAUAUUUUCAUGUCAGAACAAACCUGUUACUCUAAAGUUUUGAUAUUAUUUCUCAAAAUUUUCAUACCUGCUAUUGUUCAUAUGUAAAGAAGCACCCAAUGUUCUGUUUCAGUUAGUCUGCAGAGUGAAACAACAUUUAUAACACCCACUUUCAUUGUUUAUUAGAAAGUUAAAAGCCACAGUUCAGUGUAGGAUGGGAAACAAGGAAUUGUCUCUGAGUUCCUCUGUGGAGCUUCUGGCUUGUGCCCUCACAGCUCAGAAGCACUUCUCAUCCUUCAUAUAGAGACUAUUCUGUUUAGAAGUUGGUAAGUACACGUGUAGCUGCUUCUUUCCAGGAAUACUUACUCCUUUCUUGCCACUCUCCAGACAGUAAGCUAAUUUCUCAGAGUGAAACACAAGGAAACACCACCACUCAGUACACCCUGCAUGCUUUCUACUGUGAGAAGGUAUACCAGAAGCCAGCCUCCAGAGAUCUGCUGAGCACAGUCUUUAAACGAGGUGACAGCUCAUUGACCACUCUUUACAUGGAACAAGAUUUUCAUUCCAAUAGCUGAAAUUUCUAAGAGCAACAAAACACAGCUAAUAUUCUCACUUUCCUAUUUGAAGACACCUGCAAUUCUCCAUACACUUAUGAGAAAUCUGUGUGAUAGAAGUUCACCUCUACAAUUUACAAGAGGAAAAAAAGAAGUGGACUUUCUCAUGACGUGAGCUUCCAAAAUUAUCAUCUCAUAACCAAGAAGAAUACAGUCAAUAUAGAAGCUCAUAGUAGUGGGGGAAACAGAGGCCCAACUGGCUAUCUUUUGUCACCAAAUGAAGCUUCUAGUACUGAGAUUGGGUUACAUCUAAUUGAAUUGUUGGCCAAAGGGAUCCUAUGGCACCCCCAAACAGCACAGGCUUUUGGCAAGACUAUAGUCGGUUUUCCACAAACAGACAGCAAGUUCCCAUGAUGAAGACAAUAUCUACACAACUCAUUGAACAUGGAGAAGUUGACCUUGUACCUACAUAAAGCCCUCACUGUUAAGUUUUAGCAUCUUAGGUAUAAGAAGGUACUAUGUGCAUGACCAAAAGAGAUAUGUAAACACUAAACCAGCUACAAACCUUUUCAUCUACAAUGGUGUCCUGCCUACAAGAUAAACUAGGGCAAUGGUAGCAUCAAACUUAUGGAAGUGACCAACCACCAUCAGAUUUGAAUUAAGUCCCAAUCCACAAGAUUGGCCCCAUACCUCAUAUUUCUUGAAUGGCCAAGAACCAGAGACCAGACAGCUCAGGAACCAAGGUUAAAACCAAAUACUAAUGAUAAC